rnacentral:rRNA from 1 species
UGGGGAAUAUUGGACAAUGGGCGCAAGCCUGAUCCAGCCAUGCCGCGUGAGUGAUGAAGGCCUUAGGGUUGUAAAGCUCUUUCAGUAGGGAAGAUAAUGACGGUACCUACAGAAGAAGCCCCGGCUAACUUCGUGCCAGCAGCCGCGGUAAUACGAAGGGGGCUAGCGUUGUUCGGAUUUACUGGGCGUAAAGCGCACGUAGGCGGAAUGUUAAGUCAGAGGUGAAAUCCUGGAGCUCAACUCCAGAACUGCCUUUGAUACUGGCAAUCUAGAGUCCGGAAGAGGUGAGUGGAACUCCUAGUGUAGAGGUGGAAUUCGUAGAUAUUAGGAAGAACACCAGUGGCGAAGGCGGCUCACUGGUCCGGAACUGACGCUGAGGUGCGAAAGCGUGGGGAGCAAACA